rnacentral:rRNA from 1 species
UGAUCCAGCAAUGCCGCGUGGGUGAAGACGGCCUGCGGGUUGUAAAGCCCUCUAAGCGGGGAGGAACGCCGGAACGCGAAUACCGUUUCGGACUGACGUUACCCGCAGAAUAAGCACCGGCUAACUCCGUGCCAGCAGCCGCGGUAAUACGGGGGGUGCGAGCUGUAAUCGGAAUUACUGGGCGUAAAGCGUGCGUAGGCGGUGCAAUCAGUCAGCCGUGAAAGCCCCCGGGCUUAACCUGGGAAUGGCGGUUGAGACGGGUGGGGCUAGAGUGGGCUAGAGGAUCGUGGAA